GUGUAAGUAUGAACUAAUUCAGACUGUGAAACUGCGAAUGGCUCAUUAAAUCAGUUAUAGCUUCUUUGAUGGUAUCUACUACUCGGAUAACAUUAGUAAUUCUAGAGCUAAUACGUGCAACAAACCCCGACUUCUUGAAGGGAUGCAUUUAUUAGAUAAAAGGUCGACCCAUGCUCUGCCUCUUGCUUUGAUGAUUCAUGAUAACUCUGAAAGUGCAAAGUGUCAAGAAUAACACUAGCAUGUCUUUGCCUAUGUUUUGAUGAAG
rfam:Lupinus angustifolius cultivar Tanjil chromosome LG06, whole genome shotgun sequence.